rnacentral:rRNA from 1 species
UACAGAGGGUGCAAACGUUGUUCGGAAUUACUGGGCGUAAAGCGUGCGCAGGCGGUUAUUUAAGUCAGGUGUGAAAGCCCUGGGCUUAACCUAGGAAUUGCGCUUGAGACUGGAUAGCUUGGAGUGCGGCAGAGGGAGGUGGGAAUUCCACGUGUAGCAGUGAAAUGCGUAGAGAUGUGGAGGAACACCGAUGGCGAAGGCAGCCUCCUGGGCCAGCACUGACGCUCAUGCACGAAAGCGUGGGGAGCAAACAGG